AAGAGCCGUAAUAUCACAUUAAACCUAAUUACGAGGCACUCAUAACAUAAUUUGGUUUUCUGUGUGAAUAGAUUUGCCAGCUGACUCUUCAGUUAUAUUGUGUAUUUACUGCACCGUGGUGUUAGUGAGAUUUUGGACAUUGAACAGCUUUAGCUAAUAUCAUCAGCGGCAUUAUGCUAGCUUACAUCCCUACCCCUCCUGCCCUCACCUGCUGUCCUUUUGUUUUUGUUUUUUUUGCUGCACAUUGAGAGACGACCUCUAUUCUGCAUUUCACCAGGAGUCAGCUGAUGGAUUGUGGGUUCAAGGUGUUAUGAUGAAAUGCAGCAUUCCAGUGCAUCCCAACCAUGCCUUUACAGUCAAGGUUUCUGACGGAGCUGAGUUUCUCUCUGACAGUCUGCUGAAAGUGUUUGCAAAGUGAUCGGGGGAAACAGGGCACAAAGCUAAAGGAUGUAGCUGCCAUGAUGACAGAUGACAUUAAUGCUCGAAGGGAGUCUCAUCAAAGUGCUCCGCAUCUGUGUGAAAGACAAUUGCAACAUCUUAGUGCAGGAGUUCAUGGACUUGACUGAGGCCACUGCACGGAUUGAGAAAACCACAAUGAACAUCUGUCUCCAGAGGAUGCACCAGGCAAUGACUUUUCUGAUGUUGGCAUCAUCAUCGAGGGUAUAGUAGUUCUUCAAGAUCUGGAUAACGUGACCUUUGCAGUAGCCAUGCUGUUUGGACCUUUUUUAUUCCUUCAACAUGAGUUACCCAUCACAACUCUGCUACACUUUUGAGGUGAUUCAAAGGGUGGUAAUGGAGUUGGAUGCAACUCAGCUCUCAAGAAAAGCUCACAACUAAGACAAAACUACUCCUGCAAGGAAAGCUCACUGUUAUGCAUGCAAGCUGAUCAGCUCUAGGUGAGAGGACAUUUAAAUCUCACACUUGUUCUGCUGCAUUUUUGAAGCUCAAUUCCAGGAACAGAUCGCAGGGUUCAUUUUUAUAUACUCUGCAACUGCCAUGAGGACGAGCCGUUUUUUGUUGUUGUUUUCCUUUUGCUCUGUACAGCAUUUUGGCAGCAUUUUUAAAUUUCUCUUUGUAUUUUUUCUUUCUUUUACUAGUGAAGAGAUGUAGCGUGAACAGUUAUGCAGUCUAAAUAUCCCAUAUGGGUCGUGUGAAAUGGUAUUUUCAGUUUCAUUCAGUUGAAGUAAAGAACGUUGAAUAUUUCUAAGUGUGCUGUUUUGAACCAAGAUGUCACAGUAUGAUCAGUGCUGUAAUUUUUGACAGUCACUGUAUCAAUGUUAUUUUUGCAUCUCUUGAAUAAAGGUUUUGACCUGCAGGUGCUAAUUUCUUUAGUUAUUGGGGUAAAAUGGGUAAUGUUAAUAGGAAGGUGUUUGCCAAUUCAGUAACCUAAU
ensembl:lncRNA